rnacentral:rRNA from 1 species
UACGUAGGGGGCUAGCGUUGUCCGGAAUCAUUGGGCGUAAAGCGCGUGUAGGCGGCCCGGUAAGUCCGCUGUGAAAGUCGGGGGCUCAACCCUCGGAUGCCGGUGGAUACUGUCGGGCUAGAGUGCGGAAGAGGCGAGUGGAAUUCCUGGUGUAGCGGUGAAAUGCGCAGAUAUCAGGAAGAACACCCGUGGCGAAGGCGGUUCUCUGGGACGGUACUGACGCUGAGACGCGAAAGCGUGGGGAGCGAACAGG